GAAAAGGUUUUGAUUUGUUUUGUUAUAAGAGGGAGAGAAGGAGUUGCGCAUCGUAGAGGCAAAAACGAAAACUCACAAAAUACUCUCAUUAUCUCUCAACCGUUAACCUCCAUACCAACAUCAAUCGCCGUCAACCAUCAUCCACCUUCUUCAUCUCCAUUCGUCGAGUCCCAAUCGCUAUCAUCAACACCAUCCUCCAUCUACUACCUCCAAUCGCUCACCAUCUUCUUCAACCUCCGUUCCGAUAAACACCAACGAACCACCACCGAUUCUGUAACCCUCUCCGCCUAA